CCUACGGGCUGCAGCAGUGGGGAAUAUUGCACAAUGGGCGCAAGCCUGAUGCAGCCAUGCCGCGUGUAUGAAGAAGGCCUUCGGGUUGUAAAGUACUUUCAGCGGGGAGGAGGGUGUUGUGGUUAAUAACCACAACAAUUGACGUUACCCGCAGAAGAGGCACCGGCUAACUCCGUGCCAGCAGCCGCGGUAAUACGGAGGGUGCAAGCGUUAAUCGGAAUUACUGGGCGUAAAGCGCACGCAGGCGGUCUGUCAAGUCGGAUGUGAAAUCCCCGGGCUCAACCUGGGAACUGCAUUCGAAACUGGCAGGCUAGAGUCUUGUAGAGGGGGGUAGAAUUUCAGGUGUAGCGGUGAAAUGCGUAGAGAUCUGAAGGAAUACCAGUGGCGAAGGCGGCCCCCUGGACAAAGACUGACGCUCAGAUGCGAAAGCGUGGGGAGCAAACAGGAUUAGAUACCCGUGUAGUC
rnacentral:rRNA from 1 species